rnacentral:ncRNA from 1 species
AUAGCGGAAACCGAAAAGCUAAAAAAGAGUAGGUG